UACGUAGGGUGCAAGCGUUAAUCGGAAUUACUGGGCGUAAAGCGUGCGCAGGCGGUUUUGUAAGUCAGAUGUGAAAUCCCCGGGCUUAACCUGGGAACUGCGUUUGAAACUACAAGGCUAGAGUGUGGCAGAGGGGGGUGGAAUUCCGACGUGUAGCAGUGAAAUGCGUAGAGAUGUGGAGGAAUACCGAUGGCGAAGGCAGCCCCCUGGGAUAACACUGACGCUCAUGCACGAAAGCGUGGGGAGCAAACAGG
rnacentral:rRNA from 1 species